rnacentral:rRNA from 1 species
GACGAACGCUGGCGGCGUGCUUAACACAUGCAAGUCGAGCGGUAAGGCCCUUUCGGGGGUACACGAGCGGCGAACGGGUGAGUAACACGUGGGUGACCUGCCCUCAGCUCUGGGAUAAGCCUGGGAAACCGGGUCUAAUACCGGAUAUGACUCCAUGACGCAUGUUGUGGGGUGGAAAGCCUUGUGCGGCUGAGGAUGGGCCCGCGGCCUAUCAGCUUGUUGGUGGGGUGAUGGCCUACCAAGGCGACGACGGGUAGCCGGCCUGAGAGGGCGACCGGCCACACUGGGACUGAGACACGGCCCAGACUCCUACGGGAGGCAGCAGUAGGGAAUCUUGCGCAAUGGGCGAAAGCCUGACGCAGCAACGCCGCGUGGGGA